rnacentral:lncRNA from 1 species
AUUUGCCGAAUUAAUGGACAGAGAGGUUGUGGUAGCACAUUUGAGAUAUUUGUUAUGAAAAAAUAUGUCUAUUCCGUGCUAAUUGUGUUCUUUGUUAUAGUUUUUAGGAUGAUUUAUUUUGAGUUGAUAUUAUUAAAAAUAUAAUUUUUAACUAUAUUUGUGAUGCAGAAAUCUAAGAUGGCCCCAAAGCAGAGUACCGGCAAAAAUUCCUAUGUUGGCCCGAGUAAUAUGGUAAAUGGAAGGUGUUAUUUCACCCACUUUGUAAAUUUUAUGGUCACCCUAAUCCCGUGUAUGUCUCAUGAGCAGAAGGAUAGAAUACGUGGCACUCCUUUUG